rnacentral:lncRNA from 1 species
GUCCACACUGCUUUUAUGAGCUGUAACACUCACCGCGAAGGUCUGCAGCUUCACUCCUGAAGCCAGCGAGACCACGAGCCCACCGAGAGGAACGAACUCCAGAGGCGCCGCCUUAAGAGCUGUAACACUCACCGUGAAGGUCUGCAGCUUCACUGCUGAGCCAGCGAGACCACGAACCCACCAGAAGGAAGAAACUCUGAACACAUCCGAACAUCAGAAGGAACAAACUCCAGACGUGCCACCUUAAGAGCUGUAACACUCACCACGAGGGUCGGCGGCUCCAUUCUUAAAGUCAGUGAGACCAAGAACCCACCAGUUCCAGACACACUUUUCUUGCAUUAGAUCCUGUGAUGGUUAAUAUUGAGUGUCAACUUGAUUGAAUUGAAGGAUGCAAAGUAUUGUUCCUGGGUGUGUCUGUGAGGGUGUUGCCAAAGGAGAUUAACACUUGAGUCAGUGAACUGGGAAAGGCAGACCCACCCUCCAUCUGGGUGGGCACCAUCUAAUCAGCUGCCAGCAUGGCUAAAAUAUAAAGCAGGCAGAAGAACAUGAAAAGACUAGACUGGCCUAGUUUCCCAGCCUACAUCUUUCUCCCGUGGUGGAUGCUUCCUGCCCUCAAACAUCAGACUCCAGGUUCUUCAGUUUUAGGACUCGGACUGGCUCUCCUUGCUCCUCAGCUUGCAGAUGGCCUAUUGUGGGACCUUGUGAUUAUGUUAGCAAAGCAUGGAAACGAAUUUCAGGCCAAAUGACGAUACAUUCAUGAUCGCUGGACAAUUUUAUUAUCUGGAUCCUGGGGCAGUGCAUGCAGUGUUUGUCCUGGAGCAACCUCCUUAAGGGGCCACCUCUGCUUGAGCAACACGCUGGAAGCUUCAUAGAUAGGUAACAUUCUCUAGCUUGCUACCCAGCCCCCUUGGUGUCAUGUUUCUCUUCUCCCCCAUCCUCCUGUGUAGUGCAUGUGCUCUCCAGACUCUCCCCAAGGCUCUGUCCCUGUCCCACCUUCCCUCUCUGAGAACUUCCCACCUCCGCUCCACUCCUUCAGGUGAGGAUUUUUUUUUCUCUCUGACUCAACACAUAUGCAGAUAACUUACUGGUCAGACCCUUCUUUGUUGUAUUCGGUCUCUAAGAUCCUGGGCCUAUUUGUUACUCAUAUUGUCUAGAUCUUGGGAGCAGAGCCAUGUCCAAAGAUCAUGGAAUUCUUUGCACACAGAGUGGACACCUGACCUGCCAUCAGGGUGUAGGCUUUCCUGAUGCCCCUCCCACCCGAGCCAGGUGUGAGUGGAAGGGAUGAAUCUCAGAGGGUUGAAUAAGUUAUGAGCCUUAGUUCAUGAUAUAUCAUCAUCUUUGAUUUGGGUUAAUCUUUGAUUUAAUUAGCUAUCACUUUUAUUCCCAUUCUUCAUUCCCAUGCCCCAUCCAUAGGCAGUCAUAUCUAUGUGUUUAAUGUUUACCUUUUUAUCUGUAAAUGCCCUUAUAAAAUAUGCAUUAUUAUUUGGCGUACAUAUAUUUUUCACUUACACAGACAGUAUUGAAUUAUUUAUCUUCUUCCCCCCAUUCAGCACUAUGCUUUUAAGGUGCAUGCAUAUCGUUCUGUGGGCUUCUAUCUGCGGCAUGAUCAGCCACAGUGUGCAUCUGUGUAUCAUGCUCUCUGCCUUCCCAGCCCCUGACAAACACACAGACAAUGCUGUGGGAAACAUCACAGUAUAUAUUCAUAUCUUCAUAUGAGAGGCAUAUUCCCAAGGGUGAAAUUAAGCCCUAUAAGAUGAAUGAGCUAUAGAUACAGGAAUGUAGGUAUAGAUAGAUGUAGAUGGCAAACAUAGAUAUUUAAAUUCAUAUGCUUAC